rnacentral:rRNA from 1 species
UACGUAGGGACCGAGCGUUGUCCGGAAUCAUUGGGCGUAAAGAGCGUGUAGGCGGCCACUUAAGUCCUGCGUGAAAUCUUGCGGCUCAACCGCAAGCGGUCGUGGGAAACUGGGUGGCUAGAGUGCGGGAGAGGAGAGUGGAAUUCCUGGUGUAGCGGUGGAAUGCGCAGAUAUCAGGAAGAACACCCGUGGCGAAGGCGGCUCUCUGGAACGCAACUGACGCUGAGACGCAAAAAGCGUGGGGAGCAAACAGG